rnacentral:rRNA from 1 species
UACGGAGGGUGCAAGCGUUAUCCGGAUUCACUGGGUUUAAAGGGUGCGUAGGUGGGUUGGUAAGUCAGUGGUGAAAUCUCCGAGCUUAACUUGGAAACUGCCGUUGAUACUAUCAAUCUUGAAUAUCGCGUAGGUAAGCGGAAUAUGUCAUGUAGCGGUGAAAUGCCUAGAUAUGACAUAGAACACCAAUUGCGAAGGCAGCUUACUUCACGAUCAUUGACACUGAGGCACGAAAGCGUGGGGAGCAAACAGG